rnacentral:rRNA from 1 species
UACAGAGGGUGCGAGCGUUGUCCGGAAUCACUGGGCGUAGAGGGUGCGUAGGUGGCAGGAUAAGCGUGUGGUGAAAGCCCGGGGCUCAACCCCGGGUCUGCCAUGCGAACUGUCUUGCUUGAGCAUAGUAGAGGCAGGUGGAAUUUCGGGUGUAGCGGUGGAAUGCGUAGAGAUCCGAAAGAACACCGGUGGCGAAGGCGGCCUGCUGGGCUAUUGCUGACACUGAGGCACG